rnacentral:tRNA from 1 species
GGCUCCAUAGUGUAGUGGUUAUUAGCACGUCUGCUUUACACACAGAAGGUCCUGGGUUCGUGUCCCAGGUGGAACCA